rnacentral:rRNA from 1 species
AAUAAUAAUAAAUUAAAUAUUAAAUUAUUAGGUGAAAUUAUAAUUUAAUUAAAUUUUAAAAUAUUAAUAUGAAUUAAUAAAUUUUAUAAUAAACUAGGAUUAGAUACCCUAUUAUUAAAAAUUUAAUUGAAAAUACUAAAAUAGUAAAUAAAAAAUAUUGAAACUUAAAUAAUAUGGCGGUAUUUUAGUUCAUUUAGAGGAAUCUGUCUAAUAAUUGAUAAUCCACGAAUAAAUUUACUUAAUUUAUAAUUUUAUAUAUCGUUGUUAAAAAAAUAUUUUUUAUAAAAAAUAAUAUUUAAAAAUUAAAAUAAAAAAUUAAUUCAGAUCAAGAUGUAGAAUAUAAUUAAGAAUAUGAUGGAUUACAAUAAAAUAAUUUAUAUGGAUAAUUAAUUUUAAAAUUAAUUUAAAAGUGGAUUUAAAUGUAAUUUUAAUUAAUUUAUUAAAAUGAUUAAAAAUUAAAAUAUGUACAUAUUGCCCGUCACUUUCAUUUAAAAAUUGAAAUAAGUCGUAACAAAGUAGAGGUACUGGAAAGUGUUUCUAGAAUGU